rnacentral:rRNA from 1 species
GACGAACGGCUGGCGGCGUGCCUAAUGCAUGCAAGUCGAGCGGGCUACGAUCUUCGGAUUGUAGCUUAGCGGCGAACGGGUGAGUAACACGUAGGUAAUCUACCCUUCAGAGGAGGACAACCUCAGGAAACUGAGGCUAAACCUUCAUACGUUCACUGGUAGGGAUACUGGUGAAGAAAGAGUUACCUUAGUGGUAGCUGCUGAAGGAUGAGCCUGCGGCCCAUCAGGUAGUUGGUGAGGUAACGGCUCACCAAGCCGAAGACGGGUAACCGGUCUGAGAGGAUGUCCGGUCACACUGGGACUGAGACACGGCCCAGACUCCUACGGGAGGCAGCAGCAGGGAAUCUUGGGCAAUGGGCGGAAGCCUGACCCAGCCAUGCCGCGUGAAGGAAGACGGCCUUAUGGGUUGUAAACUUCUUUACUAUGCGACUAACUAGAUUUACGAGAUAAUUCUAUAGAAUGUAGCAUAGCAAAAAGCACCGGCUAACUCCGUG